rnacentral:lncRNA from 10 species
CUGGAAGGAACACAAACAAUUGUUAGCCCCGUGUAAGCUUUGCUGUUUCUUUUCUCUAAUCCUCGGGUCAUUCUUUCCUUGGCAUUGGGUCAUUUCUUUGCAUAUUUCCUGAUCGGUCGUUAGCUAAAGACUUGAGGGAGACCCUCUUGCAUGUGUCUGGAGUUCUCUCUCUGGACUAUCUCCUUCACAGUAACUCCACCCUAGGAACCUCA